AUCGCCCCCGCGUGGCUUGUCCGGUGCCGGUUCUCCCCGCAGCUGAUUCCUCCCCGUUCACUCCUGUUCUAAAAAGGAAGCCUGGCUGUGGGCCUAGGAGGCGAUGGCGGGUGCGGUGGGCCUGGGUCCCUGGGCCUGUGGGUCACACCUCCUGCCUGGGGGUGGACAGAAGACACAGGAUCCUCAGGUGGCUACAGGAUGACUGUAGAACCAGAGACUAGGGAUCUGCAGUGGCCGAUCAGGAGUACCAGACCCGGGGAUUAGGGAUGUAUUUGAGACCAUUGUGACAGGGAUUGGAGAAGAUCUGGCAUUGCUACGGUUUGGAUUAGACACGGAUGACACCAGCGCCAGUGACUAAACAGACCUCCUGAGACACCACGGUCUUGCUGUCCACCUGAGUUCUACCCAAGUGUCUCACCAUGUAACACCAGCUACAGACACCCAGCCAACCUCAGGGCAAAGUGUUUUCUCUCUGGCCUUCCUGGACUUGCUGUGUGAGCCUGGUUAGGUUGAUGGCCGGCUCUCAGUGAUACUCCUAGCUGUGGUGUAGAUUGUUGAGGCCUCUGUGUCUAGGGUCUAGCAGCUGGCCUCUGCGUUGUGGCCAUAGUCCUGUGGCCCUCACUGUGCUGUUCAUGCAUGUGUCUCUGGUGAUGCUAUCUCUUUCCUACGGUGACUCCGUACUGCUGGGCUAAAUUGUAAGCUUCUAGUGGCCAAUUACAAUUACAGUGGGUAUUCCUGGCACAGACCUGUCUCGGGAUAAAGCCUUCCUGUCAUUAGAGAAUGUUCUACUCGGA
rnacentral:lncRNA from 1 species